GAGGCGAAAUGGGUCUUCAGAGUCAGGCAUGGUAGCCACACUACAAUCUCAGCAUUUGGGAAGAAGGAUGAGUUCAAGGUCAUUUUUGGCCCUCAGCCAAUCUGAGCUUCACGAGACACUGUCUCCAGUAGCCAAGGGGGUGAGGGAUUGCUCCCAGAUGAGAGACUAGCACUCGGAUCCUGCAGCCCAGGAGAUCCUCCAUAGCAGAGCUCAAGCCGUUGGCAGCAUAGAGGAGGGGGAUGUUCCCAGUCCCUUCCUUCCCACCUUCCUUCCUGUGGAGUAUCCAAGGACCUGUGGUUUGAGUAUGGACCCCUCAAAGCUCACGUGUUAGACAUUGAACGCCCCAAUUCCUGUUGUUUGGAGAUAGGGGCGUUGGGAGACCCCAGGCGGUCUUGCUCCAGGGGCUAGCUUUGAAAACUCAAGGCAGCUGAAGAUGCGUGGUCAUGGCAGGCUGGGGAGCCAAGUGAAGAUGCCUGGUCAUGGCAGGCUGGGGAGUCGAGUGAAGAUGCCUGGUCAUGGCAGGCUGGGGAGUUGAGUGAAGAUGUGUGGUCAUGGCAGGCUGGUGAGUCGAGUGAAGAUGCCUGGUCACGGCAGACUGGUAAGCUGAGUGAAGAUGCAGAUACGUGGUCACAGCAGGUUGGUGAGCCGAGUGAAGAUGCGUGGUCACGGCAGGCUGGUGAGCUGAGUGAAGAUGCCUGGUCAUGGCAGGCUGGUGCCUUCAGAUCCAGGAUCAUCCCAAGUUAGGACCUUGCCUGGGUCUCUUCCUGGUGCAACCACCCAUGUGUGCUGCCCAGAGCCUCGUUCCCUGACAGAAACUCCAGAUGUGGUGCCACUGCGUGAAGUUCCUCCCCGUUUCCCAAAGACCUCAGAAUUGUUUAUUUUUAUAAAAAAAUAAAAUCCUCUCUGGA